GAUGAGUGUGCACAGAAAGACACAGCCUGCUGCUAACGAUACGGUGUGUUUCAACGUGGACGGAGGCUACGACUGCAGGUGUCCUCACGGCAAGAACUGCAACCGGUGACUGUAACCAUGACAACAAGCACAAACACCAACGGGCAGAUCUGGGUGCUGGACAACGACAGGUGCUCCGUUUGCUCCUGCCAGUCUGGUCUGGUGAUGUGUCGUAGGAUGGUGGUGUGACUGUUGAGUCCACCACUGCCGACCUGCUUCUGGCUGUCCAGAGUGUAACCCCGGCCUCAGCAGCCAGUGUCUGCACCAGAACAGACUCAUUACAUAUCAGCAGUGGAGACACCUGGGUGGAGAACUGCCAGCAGUGCCAGUGUCUGAGUGGAGAGGUGGACUGCUGCCCGUGUCCUGCCCUCCUGUGGUGGACUGUGAGUUUACCCAGGUGCCCGAGGGGCAGUGCUGCCCGCGCUGCGUCGCCGACCCCCUGCCAGGCUGACACCGUCCGUAACGACAUCACCAAGACGUGUGUGGACGAGAACGGACUGACGCGCUUCAGCGAGCCGCCUGGACCAAACACAGAACAGAAUGCACCCUCUGCCAGUGCAAGAACGGACACGUCUGUUGUUCAGUGGACCCCUGUGCCUUUAGUCUGGCUCAGACAGAAAAGAUAGUGAGAGAGAGCUCUACAAGGCAUCUAUCUUUGUACAGUCUCACCUUUAAUAAGAACUGAAACCCCUUCCCCAAACCUUCA